rnacentral:tRNA from 1 species
GAUAAAGUGGCUGAAUAAAAGCGUUAAAUUGUAAAUUUAUUUAUAGGGGUUUCCCUCUUUAUUA